GGGGACCCUCGGCGCUCAGGGUCUUGAAAUGCAGCCAGACUGAUAUUGAACUUGCCAGCCUCUUGCCUCAGCUUCUUGAGUGCUGAGAUAUUCUUGUUUUAAAUCAUCUCUAGAUUGUUUAUUUAAAAAAAAAAACCAAAAUCUAGAUGUUCUAACAUAGUUAUCUUAUUCUGUGACUAAAAUCAAGAAAGAACCGGACAGUGGUGGCACACGCCUUUAAUCCCAGCACUUGGGAGGCAGAGGGAGGUGGAUUUCUGAGUUCGAGGCCAGCCUGGACUACAGAGUGAGUUCCAGGACAGCCGGGGCUAUACAGAGAAACCGUCUAAAAAAAAAAAAAAAAAAAAAAAAAGACGCAGCACUCUCAGCUCCUUCUCCAUCGCCAUGUCUACCUGUAUUCUGCCAUGCUUCUGGCCGGGAUGAUAGUGAACUAAACUUCUGAACCUGUAAGCCAGCCCCAAAUAAAUGUUGUCCUUUGUAAGAGUUGCUGUGGUCAUAGUGUCUCUUCCCAGCAUUAGAACCCUAACUAUGACACUCGGUUUUAGACAAUUGUUACUUCCCUCCAUCAGAUUUAUGUACAUGGGAAAAGAGUCCAGAGGAUCAGGAAAUGGGUAGGAAUGGAGCCCAAGGAAACCAAUCCUGCCUCCAACUCUCCCAUCAGCUGCCUCUGGCUCUACUACUUAGGUAAACAAAAC
rnacentral:lncRNA from 1 species